rnacentral:rRNA from 1 species
CCCAGACUCCUACGGGAGGCAGCAGUGGGGAAUAUUGCACAAUGGGGGAAACCCUGAUGCAGCGACGCCGCGUGAGUGAAGAAGUAUUUCGGUAUGUAAAGCUCUAUCAGCAGGGAAGUUAAUGACGGUACCUGACUAAGAAGCCCCGGCUAACUACGUGCCAGCAGCCGCGGUAAUACGUAGGGGGCAAGCGUUAUCCGGAUUUACUGGGUGUAAAGGGUGCGCAGGUGGCAGGGCAAGUCAGAUGUGAAAGCCCGGGGCUCAACCCCGGUAUUGCAUUUGAAACUGUCCGGCUAGAGUGCAGGAGAGGUAAGCGGAAUUCCUAGUGUAGCGGUGAAAUGCGUAGAUAUUAGGAGGAACACCAGUGGCGAAGGCGGCUUACUGGACUGUAACUGACACUGAGGCACGAAAGCGUGGGGAGCAAACAGGAUUAGAUACCCCCGUA